rnacentral:lncRNA from 1 species
AUGUACCCGGUGAGCUUCCCGCUCUUGCCGAUGACCCGGUGGCAGGGCACGAUGACGGCGAUGGGGUUGGCCUUGUUCGCCUGGGCCACCGCCCGCACGGCCCGCGGCGACUCCGCCCGCUCGGCCAGCUCCUGGUACGAGCACGUCCGUCCGUACGGAAUCGUCCGCAGGGCCCUCCAGACCCGCCGUUGGAACUCGGUGCCUUUCGGCACGUGCAGCGGGACUUCGAACACACGCCGCUCUCCCGCGAAGUACUCGCUGAGCUCGCGCUUUGCUUCCGUCAGGAACUUGUUCUCUUCGCGCUUUGCUUCCAUCAGGAACUCCCCCUCUUCGCGCUUUGCUUCCAUCAGGAACUUCUCUUUUUCGCGCUUUGCGUCCAUCAGGAGCCUCUCCUUUUCGCGCUUUGCUUCCAUCAGGAGCUUCUCCUCUUCGCGCUUUGCUUCCAUCCAGCUCUUCUCCUUUUCGCGCUUUGCUUCCAUCAGGAACUUCUCCCUUUCGCGCUUUGCUUCCAUCCAGCUCUUCUCCUUUUCGCGCUUUGCUUCCAUCAGGAACUUCUCCCUUUCGCGCUUUGCUUCCAUCCAGCUCUUCUCCUUUUCGCGCUUUGCUUCCAUCAGGAACUUCUCCCUUUCGCGCUUUGCUUCCAUCAGGAACUUCUCCCUUUCGCGCUUUGCAUCCGUCAGGAACUUGUUCCUUUCGCGCUUUGCUUCCAUCAGGAACUCCUCCUCUUCGAGCUUUUCUUCCAUCAGGAACUCCUCCUCUUCGCUCUUUGCUUCCAUCAGGAACUCCUCCUCUUCGAGCUUUUCUUCCAUCAGGAACUCCUCCUCUUCGCUCUUUGCUUCCAUCAGGAACUCCUCCUCUUCGCUCUUUGCUUCCAUCGGGAACUCCUCCUCUGCGCGCUUUGCUUCCAUCAGGAACUUGUUCUCUUCGCGCUGUUCUUCCAUCAGGAACUUGUUCUCUUCGCGACUCGGUUCUCCGUCUUCACGUUUCCUGUUGUGCCCGCUCCUCUUCGAAGAUUGCUGGAAAACCAGCCGCGUCAGGCCCUUGUCGUCUGCCUCCAAGAGGAUCGGACCCAAAGGUGAGUAGUAGAUGCUUUUGGCAGGCAUAGCUUGACUGUGGAGUCGGGGAAAGCCAAAGUUGAUGCAGCGUAUAUGUAGGGAUUUCCAGAUUAAUUUUGGGAAGAAGAAUUAUUCAAUUGAAGUGGGUACAGACAGUAAAACGAUGAAUUUUAAUACUGGCGAUGUUUGUAUUUGAUGUGAAUGAAUAAAAGUAAUGGGAAGGAUAGCAGAUUUAGUAGAGAAGGGGGCGAUGUUUCCUUACCAAAAAGAGAGAAAUAACUCUGUUGCUUCGGUGGUCGGGGAAAUCAAAUCGAGCGUUUCACUUCUUCAAAAGCUUAAAUGUACCGAAACAAACUUCCAGAGAGAAGGAAACAAGUCAGUGACGUCAAGGUGCGAGCAUGAGCUGAAACUUAGACAAAGUUUUCACAGCUCCUCCUAACUCUAAAUGGCGUAUACAAUACACCUGCCAAUUGACACUUGAUUAGCUACAUGAUUUCAGCGGAGAGCUCGGAGACUUCGGUAGUGCGCUUUUGACGGUUUCUCAUUCAUCGACUAUCUGGAACAAAGUCAAGAAAAGUCGGAGUUGUGAGAAAGGUAAAGGAGUCGACAACGCAAAACGCAAAGUACCGAGAAAAAAUUUCAAGUAACCAAGUUCACAU